UGAUAUACACACACAACAACAAAUGACAUCCAAAACCUUAUCCCAACUAAAAAAUUAUAUAUAAAUUAUAUAUAUAUAUAUAUAUCUUGUGCUUUUUUUUUUCUUCGUAAACAUAUUAUUCUAAUAUUUUUGUACAUAGCUUUUACACCUUUGACUACUUCUUGGAUUUUAUUUUAUAUAUUGAUCUUGUAUUAUACCUUCUUGUUGUGUUGUGUUGUGUCGUGCUCUUUUCAAUUUAUGUUUGUUUUUCUUUUGUUAUCUUUGCUCGAAUCCACGUAGCAACCCCAUUUAGUCGGGAUAAGGUGUUAUUGUAUUUAUCUUAUAUUAUGGGAAAGGUUCUCCAAACCGCUUGGUUGGCUUAUGUGUAUCUUUUUUUCUCUCACAUGAAAUGAUCUCGCUACCCUCCAAUAUAGGAUACCAAUUUACCAGUCUUAUUAGUGCACUUCUCUAUUACACUUGCUUGUUGAACAUUCUUCCCUUGUAUUAUUUAUGGAGAAAAGUUCUUUAAUCAACGGCGAACUAGAGAUGAGAAAGCAAAAGUAUAAUACAACUCCCCUAUUGGACCAUGGAUUUAGGGGACGGUAUCAUAUCGAUAUUGGCAUUGGAUCGGAUCAGAUCAGCGAGUAUCGGUUGGUUUUACCUUUGCUUUUUUUAAAAGACACAGGGUCCGUAUUACUUAUUUGGGAGCAUAGGGCGAAGGGGACCACACUUAUUUGGAAGAUGAUGGAGAGUCAAUCACGCCAACUCCCUUGGAUUAAUUCCAGACACAUUAGUUUGCUGCGGCCACUACGCUAGAAGCUUGCAAGCUAGUACCAUUGUCAUGACUUGGUAGUAGUUUGAUGAGGUCAAUCUCUUUUACUUUUGAUACUUGUUGGAUGUUGACUGAUUCAAAGUCAAAUGGGUGGGUUUGCUAAGGACAAUUAGGAAAGGAGCUUGUUUUCUUUAUUUUGUCAUCAAGAUAAGUUAAUUUUGUAAAGGGCCAUGUUUGCUUGAUUAUAAAAUUAUGAUAUUUUAUAUGAAAUUUUACUCCUUCAAUGUUUGUUUUUGUCA